rnacentral:lncRNA from 1 species
GACACAGCUUUAAAAUUUUGAUUCAAAUUAUGAAACAUCCGAUUUUUGCUUUGCAUCGGGAUAAAAUAAUUAAUUUACAUAAUAAAUAUACCGGGUAUUUGUGGCACGUUUCGUCAGUAGUUUAUAAAUGCUAGAUUUCAGUACAGACCGUUGCAAACAUAUUUUACUAGCUGAUAUUCGAAUACACGUUCUGUAAUAGUGGUAUCAAGUAUUUUUCAGCUCAAGUUUUCGACUAACUAACAAUAUCCAUGCAGUUCUAUUAGUGCCAUUCUGCACUAUGUACACAUAAUACAAAUAUGCACCGCUAUAUACAAGCGUAGCAAUCACCUAACUCGCAUUACCAACCAGCUUCCCAUGCUGGUUUUGAAAACUUUCUAGAAGAUUUUUCUGAAUGAAGGUAGCUAUCAUCUCUUGGAUUAAAAUUAUGUUCAGUUGCAAGUGUUCUAGUAUUUAGUCUUCUCAGUGACGAGCUGCAGGCACUACUUGGUCGACUUCGGUUUUUCUUAUCACACCCAGUUUGACUUCGUAACAGAUGAUCUCGUUUCAAACCCUUCGUGGGCUUCACAGCUUCAAGUCGACGAAGUAAAGCCUAAAAUUAAAUUAUUGUGAAAUGUAAAUAUCGAGAUUUUUGGGCUUCU